GUCUGUUUGAGGGACCAAACAGGGUUGGGUUGGGCAGGAGGGCAUUGAGUCCAUGUUAGUUACUGCUAGGUAGUUAGAGAGAAGCUGCUUCUGGGAACAGAGUCCAGGGUUCUGUGCAACGUAGUGAUUCUGUUUGUCUGGCCUGUGGGUCUGAGGAGAUCCAGGGCCCUUAAUUCUAUAGAUGGGUCUCAGCUCUGGGUGCUCAAAGUCCUGCCUGCAGAAUCGCUCUGUACCAACCCUGUCUCCUGAAAAGAAUAGGAAGGUGAUGGGUGAGGAGAGAGGAAGGGAGGUUCCUGGUCUCCUGGAUCCUCUUUAGAGAAAGUGAAAUAUGGGGCCUAGAAGGGGAGGUGGCGGUCAGUGGUGAAGGGCAGAAUGCGUUGGUGGGAGUCACUUCCAUGAAGGGCCAAGCCUAGAGUGAGGGGAAAAUGGAGCCCUGAGGCACAGCAGAGUUGGACUGUCGUACCUCAAGAAAGGUGAUGUGCCCUUGUCCUCAGGGAAAGCAACCCUCCCCACCUCAAACUUGGGGUAGAGCAUCCUCAGGAGAAAGAGGGGUCAAAUCAAGCAGUCGAGUGGAUUGGAGUGAACAAGGUUCUUUUGGGAAUGGCCUUGAUGGUCUAUUGCUCCCCAGGAAUGGAUCUUUAUCUGUCAGGGGUGUGGGAGGACUUGGUCAACAGACAGAGUAUGAGAGCAAGAGUGGAGUCUGUGUGUGUGUGGGUCAACACUCCAGAUUAAUCUGGCUUCCUUUAUUGGCCUACCUGAUUUUUCAGGUAAGAUUGCUAGAUAGAAGGUAAGGUGAUGGGUAGAAAAUAUGCACUAUCCCUGUUGAUCCAUUGUUUGCCUUGGAGAGCUCUUGUCCUUGGCAUCUAGGCUUUCUUUGGAAUGGGUGUAUGGUGCUCCGUGGCAGGGGGAGGUCAGAGUGAGGAAGCUAGGGUAUCAGUGGUGUGAAAUUGAUGUGUAUUCCACAAGAAGUUGAUUAGGUGCUGGUGGAAGCCUGUCUCCUUUAGAAAAACUGAAUGGUUUGCUUCUUCUCCCGUUUGUUUUUCAGCCCCCCCCAGACCACCAGCCGAUCUUCACUCCUCAUCUCAUGUUGCUCGCCAAUCCUUGAGUAGGAUCCAGAGAUGACGAGAACUUCAAGAAAUCUUACUGACCGAAAGCCCAGAGAGCCACACUGAGACUCGCAGUGGAUCUGGAACAGGCACAACACUCUGCCAAGCAGCCUGUGCAGUUUGUUUUAUCGAACUAGCUAGGAGCUAGCCCAGAUGAUCAUCAGCUCUUUUCUCCCCACCCCCGGUCAUGUCAAGGAGCACUGUUGGGUGGAAUCAGGAGCCUCAGAUCACUUCAAAAUGUCAUGACAGAGGAAGACGAGAGAGAGGUAUGCCGUGGCCCAAGGUGGAUCGAAAACUAACACGGAAUUCCCCAAAGCGGAUCUCUGGUCCAAACAAGGGGAAGAUUGUGGAAAAAAUCACUAGCUCAUCUCUUAACCGUGACGAAGCCUACGGACCUCCUGAAGGCAUCCCUACGGCGAUGAGGACGGUGACUGCAGCAACUAGA